rnacentral:rRNA from 1 species
UACGUAGGGUGCGAGCGUUAAUCGGAAUUACUGGGCGUAAAGCGUGCGCAGGCGGUUAUAUAAGACAGUUGUGAAAUCCCCGGGCUCAACCUGGGAACUGCAUUUGUGACUGGAUGACUAGAGUACGGCAGAGGGGGAUGGAAUUCCGCGUGUAGCAGUGAAAUGCGUAGAUAUGCGGAGGAACACCGAUGGCGAAGGCAAUCCCCUGGGCCUGUACUGACGCUCAUGCACGAAAGCGUGGGGAGCAAACAGG